UUCUCCGAGUUUGACUACUCCAAGACCGACUAUCCGUAAGGGGCUGAUUAGCUGCCCGGGUCGGUGGCGAGGUUCGGCGCAGUCGCUGGCUGUGCAGGCCUGGGGCGAAAGGAUGCGAACCUUACAAAAGGUGGACUCUGGGUCGGCCAAAAAAUGUUGAAAGUUUGACUUGCUCUCUCCUACAAGCGGAAGAAAGCAAAUAAAAUCAGGUUCUGGGCUGGAGAAAGCUUCAGAUAAACUAGAGGCAAGAAGGGGAAAAAGCUCUGCAGGCUUUUCUUCAACUUGGCGGCUGCUGCUGCUGCUGCAGCCCCAGCCCCUCCCAGCACUCGCGCCCGAGCUCCCCGGCCGCUGUGCGGUACCCUGAUGAGGAAGCUUGAGACACAUAGAGGUUAACGGGUGAAGGAACUUGCCCAAAGUCACCUGGCCGGCAAGAGCUGAGUCAGAUUGCUACCCAGGCCUGAAAGAAACAGAGAGGUGUGGUAUCUGACCCCCAAAUCUGGAAUACACUGCAGUGCCCAGCGUCCUCUGGAUCAAAAGGCAAGUGAGCAUGUCCAUCGGCAUGAAUCAGAUUACCAGGGAUCUGUGUAUGGAUUGAACAUGAUGUCUCCAAAGUGCAUGAAAGACCACGGGGUGUCGUGUCAAUAUGCACACGUCACAGAGAACAGUUCCUGGUCCAUAUCAAGCUCUAUACAUGCGUUUGCUCCUACCGACGUCAGUAUCAGCAUCCUCAUCCUCAUCAUUAUGGGAAGUAGCAUAAUCAUACUAUAAUGAUAAACAGAACAACAGAUACAAAAGUAUGAAGACAUUACCUCCCCCCAUGUCCUAAUUUUUAAAAAUGCAGAGAAAAGGGCUUCCCUGGUGGCGCAGUGGUUGAGAAUCUGCCUGCUAAUGCAGGGGACACGGGUUCGAGCCCUGGUCUGGGAAGAUCCCACAUGCCACGGAGCAACUAGGCCCGUGAGCCACAACUACUGAGCCUGCGCGUCUGGAGCCUGUGCUCCGCAACAAGAGAGGCCGCGACAGUGAGAGGCCCGCGCACCGCGAUGAAGAGUGGCCCCCGCUUGCCGCAACUAGAGAAAGCCCUAGCACAGAAACGAAGACCCAACAUAGCAAUCAAUCAAUCAAUCAAUCAAUCAAUCAAUCUUUUAAAAAAAGAAAAAAAAAGAAAAUAGGCUUACGGUAUUUAAAAAAAAAAUGCAGAGAAAAAAACUGGAAGGCA